GACAGAGGGUGCAAACGUUGUUCGGAAUUACUGGGCGUAAAGGGCUCGUAGGCGGCCAACUAAGUCGGACGUGAAAUCCCUCGGCUUAACCGGGGAACUGCGUCCGAUACUGGAUGGCUUGAGUUUGGGAGAGGGAUGCGGAAUUCCAGGUGUAGCGGUGAAAUGCGUAGAUAUCUGGAGGAACACCGGUGGCGAGGGCGGCAUCCUGGACCAACACUGACGCUGAGGAGCGAAAGCCAGGGGAGCAAACGGG
rnacentral:rRNA from 1 species